rnacentral:rRNA from 1 species
UGCAUAUCAAUAAGCGGAGGAAAAGAAACCAACAGGGAUUGCCCUAGUAACGGCGAGUGAAGCGGCAACAGCUCAAAUUUGAAAUCUGGCUUCGGCCCGAGUUGUAAUUUGCAGAGGAAGCUUCUGGCGCGGCGCUGUCCGAGUCCCCUGGAACGGGGCGCCAUAGAGGGUGAGAGCCCCGUAUGGAUGGAUGCCUAGCCUGUGUGAAGCUCCUUCGACGAGUCGAGUAGUUUGGGAAUGCUGCUCAAAAUGGGAGGUAAAUUCCUUCUAAAGCUAAAUAUUGGCCAGAGACCGAUAGCGCACAAGUAGAGUGAUCGAAAGAUGAAAAGCACUUUGAAAAGAGGGUUAAAUAGCACGUGAAAUUGUUGAAAGGGAAGCGCUUGUGACCAGACUUGCGCCAGGCUGAUCAUCCGGUGUUCUCACCGGUGCACUCUGCCUGGCUCAGGCCAGCAUCGGUUUUGGUGGGGGGAUAAAGACCUAGGGAACGUAGCUCUUUCGGGAGUGUUAUAGCCCUGGGUGUAAUGCCCCCGCUGGGACCGAGGUUCGCGCAUCUGCAAGGAUGCUGGCGUAAUGGUCAUCAGCGACCCGUCUUGAAACACGGACCAAGGAGUCAAGGUUUUGCGCGAGUGUUUGGGUGUUAAACCCGCACGCGUAAUGAAAGUGAACGUAGGUGAGAGCUUCGGCGCAUCAUCGACCGAUCCUGAUGUAUUCGGAUGGAUUUGAGUAGGAGCGUUAAGCCUUGGACCCGAAAGAUGGUGAACUAUGCUUGGAUAGGGUGAAGCCAGAGGAAACUCUGGUGGAGGCUCGCAGCGGUUCUGACGUGCAA